AGCAGCCGCGGUAAUUCCAGCUCCAAUAGCGUAUAUUAAAGUUGUUGCAGUUAAAAAGCUCGUAGUUGAAUUUCGGGGUCAGUAGGUCGGUCGUGCCACUGGUAUGCACUGGUCUCACUGAUUCCUCCUUCCUGAUGAACCGUAAUGCCAUUAAUUUGGUGUUGCGGGGAAUCUGGACUGUUACUUUGAAAAAUCAGAGUGUUUAAAGCAGGCUAACGCUUGAAUACAUUAGCAUGGAAUAAUGAAAUAGGACGAUCGAUCCUAUUUUGUUGGUUUCUAGGAUUGACGUAAUGAUUAAUAGGGAUAGUUGGGGGCAUUAGUAUUCAAUUGUCAGAGGUGAAAUUCUUGGAUUUAUUGAAGACUAACUACUGCGAAAGCAUUUGCCAAGGAUGUUUUCAUUAAUCAAGAACGAAAGUUAGGGGAUCGAAGACGAUCAGAUACCGUCGUAGUCUUAACCAUAAACUAUGCCGACUAGGGAUCGGAUGAUGUUAAUUUUUAAUGACUCAUUC
rnacentral:rRNA from 1 species